GAAAUAUUGAGAGUAUACUUUCAGUUGAAAUGGGAUUGAGGGAAUUGGCGUCUUUGAAGGUUGAAGAUGCUGUUGUGCUUGCAUUGGCGUUGCACAGACGACCAAAUUUGAGAUCAUCAGUUGAUCCCAAGCUUACGGAGGCCUUUGAAUUAAGUGAAGAGGAAGCAGAAGAUGUUAUUUUCAAAGAGGCAUGGCUAACAUACUUCUGGAAAAGAGCUGAAGUGCAUGGUGUGGAAGAGGACAUUGCAGAAGAGCGGCUUCAGUUUUGGAU
rnacentral:misc_RNA from 1 species